CAUCGCCCAUCACACUAUGGGAGCUGGCCAUGCCCGAAGUCGUUACCUUAACCGCAAGGAGGGGGAUGCCGAAGGCAAGGCUAGUGACUGGAGUGAAGUCAUAACAAAGUAGCCGUACUGGAAGGUGCGGCUA
rfam:Glycine soja cultivar W05 scaffold1774_46, whole genome shotgun sequence.